rnacentral:rRNA from 1 species
UACGGGUGGAGCAAGCGUUGUUCGGAUUUACUGGGCGUAAAGGGCGCGUAGGCGGCCAGCACAAGUCAGUUGUGAAAUCUCCGAGCUUAACUCGGAACGGUCAACUGAUACUGUGCGGCUAGAGUGCGGAAGGGGCAACUGGAAUUCUUGGUGUAGCGGUGAAAUGCGUAGAUAUCAAGAGGAACACCUGCGGCGAAGGCGGGUUGCUGGGCCGACACUGACGCUGAGGCGCGAAAGCCAGGGGAGCGAACGGG